GAAGACGAAACCGACCUUGCUGAACUCGAGGCAAGGAACCCAUUUGGAGCGGAUGAGAUACUCGAUCUGCUUCAGGAGGGACUCCACGGUGAGAGGUGGCAGGUAGGAAAGGGUCUCGAACUUCUUGAUGCCCUCAAUUGGCCACACCUGCAAUUAGAUUAAAAUUAGCACACAAAGUGUGAUUUGAGACACAUAUCGAUGGAGUAUUUCACUUCACACAUAUCGGUAUGAUGAUAUACAUACCUGCAUGCUCGUGAUCCUGCCACCGUUGGAGACGCUGCCGAGGCCAGCGCCGGCAGAGCGGCGGCUGACGGGGAGCCCGGCGGUGGACUUGAGGCCCCGGAAAGGAGCAACAGCGGUAGCCGCCGCCGACAUCACUGUCGGACCCAUAGCAUCCACCCUUGUAUCACUAGAGUAUAUCUACUUAGCUAAUAUGCUAAGUUUGGCACGGAGAGAGGAGGUCGAGUGGACUUCAUUCCUGGUCACAAGGGUUUAUAUAUACCAUAUAACAUACGAGCAAUUUGUGAUUAAUUUGUUGUCGUUCUAGGAGAUGUGGAAAGGGUGGAUGCCGUUCGUUGGUUGCCUUAUCCGUUCUAGAGAAGGGAUGGAUGACCGACGCUCGCUCAGCCGUCUCCUUCGUCCAUCGUUGCCAAUCUUUCUAGCUAUAAUUGGAAGUUCCAAAGGAACAUACGGUUUCAUGCCUACUUCCAUCGGCCUAUCAUGUACCAAUCCAAUAAAAGGACAUCGUUCAACCAUCAAUCCAUGUGUGUGUAGUAAGUGAUUGGCUACGAACCUUCAGCUGACUUGCUUUAUUGGAUAUUUCUGUAAAGCGAGUCCACGGUGUGUGGGUUUAAAAUCUCGUGGCGGCAACUGUUGACGGGUGCAAAUAUCAGUAGCCUUAAAACAAUAAACUUUACUCCGUCCCUUCCGAAAUGCAAGAAUGUCCUAAGUCAAACUUCUUAUGCUGCAGGACCAUAGUUUUUGAGGUGUUCUUCUCACGAGUCCACGAAGAACGGGAAUUUUUUGGUGUCGGGUAAGGGCGGGGGAAUAUAUAGAUGCUAGCAUCAGCAUGACGGGCUAACGGGUCAGGUAGGAUUUUGGACGACGUAGCACCUGACAUGUGGGGGCCACAUGUAAGAAAACCUGUCAAAAUGUCAUAACCCUCUGUUUUGGUCAACUUGAUACAAUCUGAUACAAAACGUGUGGUUUUCCUGACAAAUUAGCAAAUUUUGUGUCUCUGUGAGAAGCACGCCCCAAAAACUGUGGUUCCGUGAAAUUUAUUCACUAGUUACACUUUAUCUACAAACAUCUACGAUUCUAAAAUAGUUUGGUAUAUAUUUUCCGUAAUAUAAUUAUUUGAUAUUCUAAAUUCGGGGAUUUGUUCUUAUAAACUUGGUCGAAGUUUAAAAAGUUUGACUUCGGACAAAGUUACGACUUUUUACAUUUAGGAAUGAAGGGAAUACAUUUUAGUAAAGCAAUUGAGGAAUUGACAGAAUUAAAUAUCUUAAAUUAUACUGGUCCAUCGUGUACUCAUGGCAACAAAAUAAAUUUAUAGUCGAAAAGUUGGACCAUGAAAACUUAAAACGUGAUACAUUAAAAUUGUUGAAUCACUCUACAUCUUGUAAUUUUCUCUUGCAACCUUCUGGCGCGCUACUCAUUCCACAUUUGGUACUAUAUGUAUAAAUGUAUAUAUAUACCGCAUUAGGAGCCUCUAUUACUGUUUUAGUAUAAAUAGCAGUUUCCAUCGACUAUGCACUUCAUUAACUUUUUCUUCACGAGAUAACUUGCUUAUCGAUUUUCUUUAAUUAUCCAGAUGGCUUCUACUAGUUUGUUUCCUUGCUUACUGGGAUUUCCGCAGACUUUACGGUUAGGUAUUAUUGUCGUGUGGACAACACGGUGGCCGGAUGUUGAGAUGAUGAUGUCCUUUAUCUCCGUGUUGCUUCUGAGGACUGCGGAUCCGAGGCUAGUGGCGGUAUGGGAUGCCUCUCUACCUCUUGAUCAGGUCAAUCCGGCUCAGCAAGAGGCGGAUCGAUGGUGGCCGGUGUGACUAGAAGCGGGGAGGUAUAUAUGAAACGUUUCUUGCUUCCAGCAUCUCUUCUAGCGGUAUAUAUGUCGUCAGCUGGUUGAGGGAUUGAUGGCAAUCGAUCAUGGCUACGAUGACAUGUAUACGCGCCGGUAGGAACACAUAUCAGGCAAUGUCGAUGCACCUGCAUUGGGCCCUUGCUGAAGGUGGUGGUGCGUAUGGCAGUCUAAAGAUUUAAGACACAAAUUUAGACUUAAAACUUAAAUAAUCAAUUUGUGCCAGCGGGAAACACACAAACACGUACCGGUAAAUUAUCAUAAUCAGAAUUUGUCGACGAAUUUGAUAUUCUUUUACAAAAUAUACUUAUCUUAAUAUGUAUAACCGGAGUUUAUAUUACAUGCCCCUCUCCCAACGAUAGUUGUAGUACUCUUAUAAUAGUAGUACUCAUGAAUACAGUUAAUCCGGGUUGUUGGGAGAGAUCACAUGCAUAAAUACAACAUGAAACAAACGUGUGAAAAAGGUACAUAAAAUCGGUGUGACCCGUUCUUGUAUUAUAAGAAAUCAACUUGCUUAGGCCUUGCCGGACUCCUCACAACCCGGUGGCUUGAAGGCGAUGAAGCUGAUGCACUGCACUUGCCUGGUGUUGUCGAAGCCGAUGAUGCGGACAUAGGCGUCAGGGUACUCCUUCUUCACCUCCUCCAGCUCCUUUAGCACCUGCGUGGCGUCGGUGCACCCGAACAUGGGAAGCUUCCACAUUGUCCAGUACCUGCCGUCGUAGUACCCGGGAGAGUUGCCGUGCUCACGGAAGACGAAACCGACCUUGCUGAACUCGAGGCAAGGAACCCACUUGGAGCGGAUGAGAUACUCGAUCUGCUUCAAGAGGGACUCCACGGUGAGAGGCGGCAGGUAGGAAAGGGUUUCGAACUUCUUGAUGCCCUCAAUUGGCCACACCUACAAUUAGAUUAAUAAUUAGCACCGAAAGUAUAAUUUGAGACACAUAUCAGUAUUUCACUUCAACAUAUGUACAUGAUGACAUACAUACCUGCAUGCACCUGAUCCUUCCACCGUUGGAGACGCUGCCGAGACCAGCGCUGGCUGAGCGGCGGCCGAUGGGGAGCCCGGCGGUGGACUUGAGGCCCUGGAAAGGAGCAACGGCAGUAGCCGCUGACGACAUCACUGUGGGAGCCAUCGUACACGUACGUAGAUAGCUAACAAGAGGAGGCAGGCUUGCUUGAGUGCUCUCUAGCUACAGCGGCUUAUAUAACUGUAGGCUCCCCACCCAUCCAAUAUCAGCACAAGAUCUAGGAGGGGUGGCUGCAGUUCGCCGCGCGGAUUUGCCCAGGCCACGCUGGCAUCCUACGGAUCAGGUCGGGCGCCACAUGGCCGCACGAAAUGGCGCGCGUUAUCCUCUGGACGGAUACAAUUGGCUGCAACGCACUCUGCAAAUCAUGCCAUGAAGUGACCAAUUUUCACCUAUCAGGAUAGAUCCAAUGUGCCACGGCAUGCACUCAAAAACAGAACUUGCUAAUCCCUCCAAUCCAUAAAAAAUCUCGCCCACUUAUUAGAAAAUUUGUAAUGAGUUAAUGCAAAAUGAGCAGCACUUUUUAUGAACUAGAGGAACAACAAAUUAAGAGAAACUCUUCUAAGAUCUUAUCGAGAACGAAGCUUGCCCCCGCGUCGCUCAGUCUGGGGCGACACGGGCGGCAACCACACCAGCCCCGGCAGCAGCCUCUCCCCGUCCUCUCCUCCCCCUCGCCGCCGCCGGGCAAAGCCCGCACGGGGACGGCGGCGGCGGGGCUGUUUUUCUUGGCGGGGGUGUCCUAGAGCUCUUGGCUGAGGCGUUUGAGGUGCUGCCUCAUCGUGGUCGCGGCGUCUCCGGCCCGAUCCGGCAGGCUAUGCCUCGUCUUCGGCUAGAUCCGGCCGGCUUCCUCCCGGAUCCGGUGUUUCCCCUCGUUCUUCCUCUCCCUGGUGCUCGGUCUGCUCGUGGCUGCGCGGCUUCACGGCGGCGCUCUUCGGCCGGAUCUAGCUACUCGUUGGCCAGAUCCGUCAUCUCCUCCGGCUGAUCCGGCAUGUCCCAGGUCUCUUCGUUUCCAUCAUUUUUCCUCUCAGUUUGGUGAGGCGGCUGAUUGAACUUCACCGGCGGCAGAUGGGCUGCUGCUGCGGCCAUACAUGGUCCAAGUCGGUCCUUUUCGAUGCCAUGGUGGCGUGGUUUUCAUUUUCGGUCGCGUCUUCGGCUGCUGCCCGUGUGCGAGGUAUGGACGUCGGCUCCGGUGUUUGGAGUGUUGCUCUGGAUGAAAACUGCCCGUGUGCGAGGUAUGCCGAAGACAACGAUGUUGUAGCGCCGUUUUCCUUCUUGGAGGUGUCGUCGAAGAGCUUCACUUUCCCUCACUUUGAUGUUUGGUGUCUUCGGGUGAAAACCUAAGAUUUGGCUAUGGCCAGAUCGGGCGACAACGGCGUUUUUACGUCGAUUUCCUCCUUGGGGGCGUUGUCAUGGAGACAACGACUCUUGGUGGCAUCGGGUGGUGUGGUCCGUCUAUGGUGGAGCUUGUUGUCUCGAGUUGUUGAAGGUUUGGUGGUGUCUCUUCUUGUGUCAUGUGUUAGCUUAGGCUGUCGGUUUGUGUCCGGCGAGAACGUGCGUUUCUUAUCCUUUGGUGCGGUUUCGGCAUGUGAUGCCUUUCGUCUUCACUAUCGUCACGUAGGUGUCGUGUUGUAUUCUCGGUGGUGUGUGGUCUUUCGGCUUAGCCAACGGCAAGUGGAGGUAUGAUCUCGGUUGUGUAUUGCCCUUCGACUUCAUCGGCGGCACAUCGGCGUCGCGGUGGGUCUCAGUGACGCGCAGCCCUUCGACUCUGCCGGCUACGUAGGUGUCAUGGUGCGGCCUUGACCCUGUGCUUCCCUUCAGCUACGGCGACGACAUAGUGUCUGGGUGGGCUCGUCAGAUCGACGCCUUUCGACUACAUCAACUAUGCUCUUCAUUGUGCAUUUAUUUUGCCAUUGACAUGUUUCAAGAGUCUAGGUUUUUUCCUUGUGUUUCUUUUAGCAAAUGCUGUUCUGCAGGCUGGCUUUUGCCCACCCGAUCAGAAAAGAAAAACAAAUUAAAGGCUAAAAUCAAGCGAUGUUAUAUUCCCUUAGCUAUUACAAAUAUGGAUGAUAAGAGUUAUUUAUCCUUUUUCAACGAGUAACCCUUUACUUGGAAGUUCCAUGUGCAUGGCGCUGCAAGAAAACAAACAUCAUAAUGGGGCAAGACUUUUUUUUUUAUAAACAUCCAAUUUGGGUUAAAGUCUGAAAGAAUUUGGCUAUCUGAACUUUCAGUUUCCACAUUCUUUUACCUACUCAAUUCUUCAGCCAACAGGAUCAAUGGCGACCUACUAACACCAACCAGAACACAUGGGUCACAAACACGAAAAAGGGCUAGAAGGCUACUUAUACACACUCAUGUGUACUGCGAGCAAAAGAACAUAAUGUACAAAACUUUACAAAAUCUAGGGAAUUAAGACCUUCCCGUAUGCUGUUGCUGCCGCUGCUGCUUCAUGCUGGCUCUCCUGGCAACAUCCCAUGGUUUGUGAGGCACACCUACACCUUGCUGGGAUGCGAAGAACGACUCGUAUCCCGGGGAGUCGAAAGCAAAACCAGUGUGCUUGGAGUUCUCUCGAGGGAGCAUGGAGAUCGCAUAGCUUCUUGCUUCUUCUGGGCUCAAAUGGCUCCUCUCAGGCAGAUGUAUCAUGCUGUAUUCGUGGGGGUCAUCCUUGUGCAUCUCCUGGAUUACUUGGUAGUCAUAGGGAAAGAGCCAUCUUUGGAGCCUGAGAAAGCACACAGCAUCAAAGACAACAAUUGAUUCAGCUACUUCAGUAUGUACAAUGGAAGGAAUAACAAACGGAUGGCAUUAACAAACAUAUAAUUUUGCAAAAGAGCUGGUAUCUUACGAUAGAUACAGGAAAUCACCAAAGAGAGCGAUGACUGGAGCAAGCAUUAGUGUGAGGUAGAAGAAAAAGGUACUCAUCAGAACAUAAAUCACAAAAUAUACAUUUUCCUGCACAAGGUACACAGCAUUAAGUCAAUGCAUUUGUAGCAAGUAAUCGUCAUCAGCAGUGUAAUAGCUACAUUAUUCACCCACCUGUCGGUCAAAUGAUGUCAUUAUCGCAGAAUAUAUGAAGAUAAACAGAAACCAGGCCGCUAUACUGCCAGCUACGCUGAAAUAAUGCCAUCUCGUGAUAGAAUUGCACGACAUGAGGAGACGUAGAUUAACAGUCACCACAACACAAGUAAAGGCCAUCGUGCUAACAUCCCAUUGACCAAGAAUCUUGCCAGAUGAACCGUGACCAUGCUGACUUGCAGCUGCAGUAAAGUAAUAGAACACUAUUGACUGGUAGAAGGCAAAGAAACCCCACACCGCAAUCACUUUCCACCGGAAGAAUGUGUUCCUAAUUCCUUCUUGGUAAAGUUGUGGGUAUUUUUUUGAUAGAGAUGCACUCACAUCCUGAAAGGGUUCAGUUUAGUGAAUGUAGCAAGGAGCGUCACUCCAGAACAAGAAAAGUAGAACAAAUACAAGCAACCAUACCUUAUCAAACAACCCAACCAUAAUUACAGGUAGUGCCGUGAAAAUGACAUUAUACAGAGACUGGAACCAGUCAUCAUAAAAUCGCUGACCAGAAAAGCCAGUUUGGAAAGUGAACCAGAACUGAGUUAGUGUAAAAGUCAGAUUCUUGUAGAAGAAGUAUGUGAUAACCUGAAACAGAAAGUGUCAAUGUUAAAAAAAUUAAACUACACAGAUUGGCAGCUACAAGCUAAGGGACCAAAGCAUACCUUGCACAAUCUCAAGUAUGACCACCGCCCAUGUACAAGAAGUAAAUCCGUAAGAUAUCGAAACUGAGCAAUGGCAAAAUCACUCGCCAUAACAGCUUGCAUUCCUUCUUGUCCGCUGAUGCCAAUACCAACAUGAGCAGCUUGAAUCAUACUCACAUCAUUAGCACCAUCACCAAUACUGAGAGUUAUCUUACGUGCACCUUUCCUAACUAAACUUGCAACCUACAAAUGUGUCAACAUUACAUGUUUUGGCAUCAUUCGAACCCAACAGGUUAUUAGGAAAUAAAUCCAAAAAUAAGAGACUUUGAGAUUGCUGAUGGGAUGGGUAACAACCAAAUAAGCACAUAUACAAUAAGUUAAUUAAUACUACCUUUGUUUCAAAAUAUUAUACCAAAACGUCUUAUAUUUUGAAACAGAGAUAGUACUUAUAGUACAAGAGUGUACAGGACAUUUAGUUAAGAGGCCAAAACUAGAAUAGCAAAAGCAACCAAUGCACAGUGGUUAAUAAUGAUCUUGUGAAUCAUGCACAAACUAUUUUGUUGUCAAGGUACAAAAUUGGAUCCUUUAAAAUGUAAUAAUAUCAAUAUCCCCCGUUUAUUGCCCAAGCAUCCUGAAAGGCAUGCAGCUGAGAGCUGCAGACCAUACUGCUAAUUAUUUCAUGGGAAAAGGCAAGGCAUGCAUGAUAAGAACGCUAAAAGCGAGAAUUGAUAUUUACCUGUGCCUUUUGCAGUGGAGAAACUCGACAACAUACAACUGAUUGGCAAAUUAAACUCAAACCAAGAAGAUUCACACGCAGAGCUGGGUCUAGAGCGUACAUCAAGCAUCGUCCAUCAAUAAUGAAAGCCAACUUUCGUCCUGGCGUGCUCCUCAAAGAACGGUGGGCUUCCUCAAGGUAACUUCUCAGACUCUGUUUUACCGAGUCUUUGAUAACACGUGCAAUUUCCACAGGGUCUCCCUGAAAAUGACUGGAACAUUAUUCAUGGCAAAGAUAUGUGCAUAAGUUGAUUUACAUCAAUCAGAUACAAAUGCUAAAUUGCUAAUUAUGGUUGAUCAAACUGCAAAACACACGAGAUAUCCAAAAGGCUAUAUAAACAUGAUGGAGAGGCUAAAGCACUGAAACAACAGAAUCAACAUAAAGUAUUUUGUACUAUUAUGCAACUAAGCCUUUUGUCCCAAGCAAGUUGGGGCAGGCUAGAUAUGAAACCCAAACAGAAACUAAAGCAAAGUGCAGGUAACAAAAGAGCAAGAGAGUAAAUCAAGGUUCAGGCACAUGGACUGCUGAUUUCCAUGCAGCCCUAUCAAAAGCAAAAUCUCUAGAUACAUUCCAGUCCUUCAAGUCCCUUUAACUGCCUCCUACCAAAAGCAAAUAUCAUAGUAAUCCACCAACCAAAGUAACAAGGGAACUACUUGUAACUUCUUAGUUCACAAGUACAUACCAGUUGAGCUAUCCAAUUAUUCUAAAUAAUAUGGUUUGAUACCUUUACCAAAGUCUCAACUUGUAUUCAUUUUAAAGCUUAUACAAGAUAUUAUAUGUUAUGGCUUAACAGUCUCCAUGACACAAUAUGGCUUGACUUCACAGUUUAAUUCUAUAGGAUUAUCUUACCCUGUCUUCAGCAUCUCUAAUUGCAUCUGUCUCAGAAGUGAUGAUGAAUUGUUUUGUAUCGUUAUUCACCAGGCUGCACGCUGCAGAGCAAAAACUAAAUAACUUCAGAAGCUUUUCUAUGUCAGGUGAAAGAGAGAGAAAAAGACCGCCCGCCCCCCACCAAUAAUCCAAAACUGAGCUUCUAUUAGACCCCUUAAGAACGAAACAAGCAUGCAAAUUGAUCUAUAUAUAAUUAAAACCUCACCAUAUGCUAUAUUAAUUGCUGUUUCCAUUUUAUCUCCAGUUAGCACCCAAAUUUUUAUGCCAGCUGCAGAAAGAGUUUCAAUGCAGGCUGGAACCCCUUCUUGCAGUUUGUCUUCUAUUGCAGUGCACCCUAUCAAUAUAAGGUCCUUUUCAAUCAACUCAGCCACCUACAGGGGAAGAAACAGAAGGAAAUUAUAUGGCAAUGUCCCAGCAAUAUCUUAAAUCAGAAUAUACAUUAAGUCUAUUACUUCAAAUUCCUUUUUCCUAGAAAUCACAGUGAACUUAGUACAUGAAAGAAUGAAAGGAUAAUGCUUUUCUAAUGGGGAUUUGAAAAAACAUCAUAAAAAUAAUAAUAUAAAGUACUGUAUGUUCUUGUUCUAGAUAAAUUACAAAUAUCUUUUGCUCAUGAUCCUCUUUCCUGACUAAAAAAUAUAUAUUAUUAUGUAAAAUACUAAUGUUCUAUGGCAGUACAAGAUAAUAAAUUAGCACAAAAAACUAUUAAACUGCAAAUGUCAGCUGUUAGGGAUGGAUGACAUGACUCCUGUAGUUUUGGGGGGAGAGAGAGAGGAGACACACUGAACAAAUUACUUCCUUCGUCUCCAAAGAUUGCCAUGCCACAUUCUAUUCGGUCAGUCAACCUUUUACAACUUCAAAAUUAACAAUUAUAAGUGAAUUGAAUUACUACAUGAAAAAUAACAGCACUCAAUUUGCUUGCAUAAUAAUUUGUACGCAAAACUUUUGCUUGUAUAUUAGCAUAGAAAUCAUAGCCAGAGUUUUAUGUUGGGAGAAUAUAAAAUUAAAAAAUGGCCUACAUUUGUCAGGUACAUUCAGUUAAUUGUUUCCAAAACCAAAUUAAUUUUCAUACAUAAAUACCAAACGGAUCAAUAGCAUGCUCAACAGUGCACAUGAGACUCGAGUUCAGUACUGGAUGACAGAAAGUAAAAAAAAUCAGGCAAGCACUAGAAGGUGGAGGGGAAGUAAUCGAAAUUCAAAUCACAGGGACUGUUCAGCCUGUAUACUCAACAGAAGAGGAUGGUACACAUACCUCAUCAAGCUUCUUAUCACGAUCUCGUAAAGAAGAUUUAGCUUGAACAAACUUCUCAUUCCAGCUUUCGUACUGCUCCCUGCUUAGAUCUCGAUAAGCAAGGCAAAGCGUGCGCAAGCCAGCAGAGCCAAAUUGUUCUAGAUGUUCUCUGCUUGUCUUUUUAAUGUCAUGAUUUCCAUCAGCUAACCGUUCAAAAAUGACAUUAUCAGCGCCCUGUUACACAACAUUUGUAUAAGGUUAGUGCAUCAAUCUACAAAGUGAUAGCUACAUAAAGAUUCUUUUUUCUUGUAUUACCUUGCAAUACAGAACAAGUUUUCCAUUUGGGAAACGGCAAACCACAGAUUGGCGCUUUCUUGUACUGUGAGUGCAGUAAAGUGUGAAGUGCAGAACAAUGAUUUCAUCUUGUCAAAUUUAAAUUGAAAACAGAUAAACCAGACCUGUUGAAUUCCAAAACAUUCAGAAUUUCAUAUGCAACAUCUUGUAUACUCCCCAUCCUCUCAACAUGUGAUUCCCGAACCAAGACUGUGGUUGGCGUACGUCUACAAGACAGGCACAAAAUGUCAACCACCGGCAUUGCCAUUCACAAUAAAAAUGCCACAUGAAAUAAUUUGCAACAAAAAUCAUAAGAACUUAGAUGAGUUCAUGUUCACAGCACUUGCUUUAACACUUGUCUUAAUUUACAACGGCAAUUUUUUGUUGAUGGGCUAAUAGUUUAUUUAUGCUUCUUAGUAUGUACAUUCAGUCCUUCAUACAACAAACUAUAUAAGCAAUAACCUGGGUGAGUGACUCUUUUAUGCACAUUUUCCUUGGGACCAUAGCAUAGUUUUUUAAGAUACCUUGUUUGCAACAAACUGAUAAGAGGAAUCUAUAACUGUAUUUAAAGGCAAGGUAAGACAUGCCUAUAAAAGAAGAAACCAAAAUUCUUCGCAGCAGCGACAAGCGCGGCCUCGUCGGGAGAGGCAGCUUGAUAAGUAAUCUUUUCCGGUGUCUCCUCACCCUCAGGAAGAACUGUAUGACAGAUUGCAAGGCAUCUGCAGAAUUGCUAUAGAGCAAAUAACAAAGUUGUUACACAACUAGCACAUUAACAAGGGAAAAUGUGAAAAAGGAAAAUAGGUUCCAAAUUUUAUUAGUAAGGGCAUAUAUCGUGAUAUGUGAAUAAUUUGUGUCAACUAAAUCAAAACUGAUUAUGACCAAAGGGGAACCAAUCGAACUAUUCCACAGGUAGUCCCGUAUUUACCACGCAAGCAUCAGGAUUAGGUUCAUUUCUCCAUGCACCACGCAUUAUUCUAGCAUCAUCAAAGUUGAAUCCUUUCUCAUGAACUGCAGUGGCUGAUCUUUUACCCUAAAAAAGGCAAGUAAACUGGAUAUUAAAUCAGUUGUGCAUUAAAUUUUUCAUCAUAUACCACCACACUUCAAUAGCGUAAACAACAAAGAAAAUGUUGUAGACCUCAUCAUCAUCAAUCUUGACUCCGGCUCGCUCGGCUCCUCCUUUUUCAAUCUCUGUGAUGCCAGUUCCAUAUAUUUCCCCUCCAAUCGAACAUUUAAAGAAUUCCAUCAAGUUUCUUGUAAGUGUUCCAGUUUUGUCAGAAAAUAUAUACUCAACCUGAACCAUUAGUGGGGCAAAAAAAAUUUGGCAGAAAUGUCAAAUUAUUUGCAAGUGUUAAGUGCAUUUUAGUACCACUCGGCAUUUGUUCAGUCAUAUAAGCAUUUCUGGGGAUCUAGAACAGUUUUUCGGUGGGAGUAAGUCACUUAAUAUUAGUGAAAUGAGACUGUUCCCCAAGUGCUUAUAAUUGAUCCCACUUUCUGGAAUGAGUCGGUGCAGUGAGGUCAUUCUAUCCAUUAACCAAACCCAGCCAUAUAGGUCAAAUAAGUAAAUAACCCCAUUUCAGCAACAAACAAAGGGGCUUUCAUCAAACUAAACAGAAUGCUAAGGAACAAAAAAAAAACUGAUAUUACCUGCCCAAGCUCCUCAUUCAGAUUAGAAGUCCGAGCCAAAGCUGGGGUGUUGCUCUCGGCAUGAUACAUAUUCAGAUCAUUGUUAAUAAACUUUGCACACUGAAUGAAUUUGAUCAUCUGCCAGCCAAAAUAAACAUAAGGUCCAAUCCAAAUACAGGGUACACUAAAUGAUAAAUUGGUCAAUAUACCUCAAUGGAUACAUAAAGAGAAAUGGGGAUGAUCGUUGAGUAUAGAGUUAUUAGAGUAAACAUAGUUAAAAUGGUCACCUGCAAAAGUACAAACCUAUGAUAUAAGGCCACUUAGAGAAUAUUCUCUACAAUAAAUUAACUAAAAUAAUAUAUACCACAAAUCUGUUCUUGGGAUUAAACUGGUCCUCGACACGCCCACGCAAUCCAAGAUAGAAGUAUUUCUCAUUAAUAAACACGCCACUGUUCACAAAAGCCAAGUAUGAUGAGUCCAUUGGUAGAGUUUUAGGUUUCUAAAGAACGUGCAAGCUAAGCAGUCAUAGUUACCAAAAUCUAUAUGCUGAACAGAGCACUUCCAUUUCUGACCAUCUAGAAAGUGCCCUAUUAUGUACCUCCCACAUAAAACCACUAAGAAAAAAGAUAAGGCUAUUAAGACCUAGUCAUGUGCUCAUCUAUACUGCUCCUAUGCCACAAUAAAAAAAUAACUUCCCCAAACAAGCUCCUGACAACUCAUGUCAUAAUGUUUAAAGUUUAUCUCUCUAUUAACAGUUGUUUUUUCAUGAUCAAUUAAAUUGUGAAAAAUGAUUGUGCAAGCAUAAGCCUCCACAACAUCAACCUAACCGAUAUAACUCAUGUUCAGAGAAUAUACAUGUAAACAAUAAUACAAGAUAGAUAAGUCAAAUAAAUGAAGUGGGCCAAAUAAAACACUGACCUUCCAAUAGCACCAAUGACACACAUCGUAAAGAGGGUUGCAAAUAGAGCAAGAAUAAGCUUGUCUAGUUUCUUCUCCAAUGUACUUCUUUUAGAGGGAACAUUCAUAGAAUUCAUCAUAACCUGCAAUAGUGUCCCACUGCAGUAAAUCUCAAAACUAGAAGCACAUCUAACCUACAAGUUGAAUAUAUAGGGACACAAAAUUGCACAUACUUUCGUCUCAUGGCCCGUGAAUAUAACAGCCGCGACAAUGUACUCUGUAUUACGAAGGCUGCAUCCCUGUGGCAAAGUGGUAAUAAGAGGUUGCAUGUGUGCCACAUAAAGAGAGAGAAUUAAGUGUCAUGCAAGACACCGUUCAGUCUGGUGAAAGUAAACAUUUCUUUUGCACUUUACAAACAUUGCUUCAACCCUUCACCACUUAUCCUACAUAUGGGACUAGAGAAGAAAUGGAAGUUGUUUAUAUGAAUGUUAAACAUUUCCAAAUUGUUUAUAUCAUAGCUAUCCUUGUUUGCAAACCAAUAAGAACAAUAUUAUUAUAGAGGUGUUUUAUGAUGAAAAUUUCUGCUGGUGACAUUUGGGUGUCGUCAAUAUUGGUAUUUGGAGGAGAUGUUGGUGAUCAAAGUUAAAGGCCGAGUAAAGGCAUCACGCUAUGAUGUUAUUUUUUACCUGAGGGAUUUUCUUAACAAACUCAUGCUAAAUCUAGAACAUGCAAACAACUUUGCAGGUGGACAAUCUUGUAAAGAAAUUUCAAGGGCAUGUUUGUGUGAGGGGUAUUACUUUGGUACGUGUUGGUAACUACAUACCUAAUUGUUACAAGAAAAAUCUCAUCCAAACAAGCCCUAAGGACAUUAUGGACCUUGCUACUGCAAAGUUGGUAAGUCGAAAAUACGACAGGAUGUCUGAUUGAUAUGUAGGACCUGGACCCACAUGUCAUUCUCACAGCGAGUCGCACUAUUUCAAAUGUCAACUUUGUGGUGGCAUGGUUUCAAUUUUCCCAAUAAGAAACUAGAUACAAAUAGCAUAGAUGAACAGCACUUACCCUUAGUAGUAUUUGAUUUGGUGAAAUUGGUAUAGUUUGCUUGUCCACAAUAAGGUUCCCGGUAAAUGUAUAAAGUGAAUUGUUUGGCUGUUCGCAUUGUAUUUCACCUGUAAGCCAUGAAACAUACAGAUAAUGUGAAGUUAAGAAAAUGUAGAAUAGUUAAGUGAAGUUCAGAAAAGGAGCAAUGCUUCCUACACCAACUACCGAAAAAUGUCUGCAACAUGGAACAAGAAUAGAUAAAAACCUUUGAAUUCAGAAGCCUUUUCAGGAAUUACGCAGUCCCAGGUUUUCUCCAAAGCCUUCCUUAUUUUCAGGUUAGUUUCCCCAUCAAGAUUUGCUGUCUAAGGUAAAUAGAAGUAUGAUACACUUCAAUUAAAACAGAGUUUCUCUAAAUCAUUCAAUAAUUUCAAUUUGGACAAAAGAUGGAGAAGGUAAGAAUGAAUAUAUUGACCUCUAUGUAGCAGACACCAUCAGGGUUCGUACUUGAUAGGAAGAGCAAGUCAGAAGGAAAGUAAGUGUCUUGCUUGAUCUGCUCUAAAGAAGUGCCAUCACUAUUAGUCUUUUUGGAUAUGUGUAUCGAGCUGAAGAUUAAAUUUGCACAGCACAAAAGAUCAAGUGCAUUAAUUUGUGGAAGCAACAGAUCAAUUGAAUUGAUCAUCAAAUUGCUAUCAGGAAAGAUGAAGACAUUACCCUCACAAUAUCUCCAACCUGCAGUCUUUUCCAAGGGGCACUUUCCCAUUUUUGACCUUGCAAUACAUCGACGUGCGCAUUAUUAAUUGACAUGUCAUUCUGGAAACGUUUCUGUAUAAUGGGAGGCAAACAAAAAGGGAAGAAUAUCAGAUAACAUUAAGAAUAGCAAUAAAAUAGUGGAGCAACAGAGCAUGAGAGCAAUACUAACCCAGUCCUCAAAAGCUUCCUUGAUGAGUGAAACCAAAAGCACUAAACUAAGUGGAACCACAUUGGUGACAGGGUGGACUGGACUGCGAAGAUACAAGCAUGUAUGAACUAAGAUUUCUAGAAGUAAAGGUGAAGGAAAGCAAAGGAUGACUGAAUCAACUGAUGGACUUGAUAUGCUAAGAAGUGUCUAGCUGUAACAUGAGAAUUCCAUAGGGUGCAUGCAUGAGAGAGAGAGAGAGACCUAAUUGGUGUAGUCGACAAGAUUGAAAUCAUAAGAAAGUAAAGAUUUGCCACCCGUCUGAACUGUCAAAGCAAAAAAAAAAACAAAUGAAUUACAAAAGGUUCCUAUGGUCAAAUUGCGAUAAUACAGAAAGGGAACAUCUAAAUCGGUGUUACAGCUACCAUUGCAAAGUUUCUUUAUUCGAUAUGGAAAAAUGCAUUACAUGUUUAAUGUAUGAAGCCAUUGAAAUACUUUAAUGUACCUUACGUAAAAAACAGUGGAUAAUGAAAUUGCCAGAAUUAUGGUAUCGCAUAAAAUGAAGGUUACAUUGAGCGAAAAGCAUGAUCAGGGCUUUACCAAAUAACAAAAUCAUACUUCUCCUUUUCUCAAUAUAUGGCAUUUUAGGUUUCAUUGAAGACAAGUCUUUGAAAAGGAUUUACUUUGUGUUGUUUUUAAGGCAUGAAAUUUAUAUCACUAGAUUCAUCCUCAAAAGUACUUAAUGUGGAUUCAUAUCAUAUAAAUCACAUAUUAAUGAAGUAAUUCUUGGUCAAAGUCUUGUAUUAACGAAACCUAAUAUGUCCUGUAUUGACAAAAUGAGGGAGUAUAUUAUCUAACAGUGCAUGUAUACAGGCACGAUACUGGUAGCGCGUAUUACAAGCAAGGUAUCUUAAAAACAUUGCAACACAGUGCCAGACCAGGUAAGCAACUAAGCAUCUCAUGUAUCCACUAUUUUAAGGGAAGUUGAUCCAGAGUGAGGAAAUAAACAUUUUUAAGGAGAUAUAUCAAUUUGCAAUGUGAAAAUGAUACGGAGUAGUAUAAUCAUUUCACUGUGAUAACAAAUACUCCCUCCGUUCUAAAUACUUGUCGCUGUUUUAGUGCAAACUAAAACAGCGACAAGUAUUUAGGAACAGAGGGAGUAACUUCCAUUUACCGUUAGACAUGAUACAAAAUAAUAUGUUGAAAAAAAAUCUAGCCAAAAACUAAAAAACAAACAGAAAAUCUGCAUUAAACGAUGACAAACCCAGCAGGUAUGUUGAUUAACAAAAUAUGUAUGAACAAAAAACAACGCAUCAAUACCUGUUCAAACAAUCCUUUAGGUAGAAAUGUCAGCACACUGUACUUUGUAGUCGACACAGAAUUUCCCUGGAAAUGUAGAAUGAGAAUGUUAAAGAACUAAUUCUAGCAGAAAAACAAAGUAGCGCUCUGCAUUAGAAUCGCGAUGGUCUGAUACCCAACAUGAGGGAGAUUCUGAAACUAAACAGAAGAGCUAAUUGCAACUAGAAGCAUGAAAAAAGUAUAGCUUGAUCUUUUUACAACAUCAAGUCUGAAUACAUUCAAGCAUUUACACUAACUUGGAACAAAAUGUGGGUGUCAAAGAAAAUGCAUGAAUACACCUACUUACAAUAAAGCACCAAUUUUGCAGUGAUUGGACAAACUAUGGUUAAAAUACUUAAUAAUAGAGUUCUACGUAUUUGGAGGCAUAAAACGCAUUGCAGUUGGAGCAGUGGCAUUAUCAUGUUAGUCAGUCUAACAUGGCAGUGAAUGACGUGAAUUUUUUGCUAGUUUAGACCUCUGGCCAGCGCAAUUGACAAAAAUGCCCCCCUCUCAAAACUAAUGCCAAAAAUGGUCUGGCAGAAGGCCCGAAAGGCGCCACAUUUCAUUUUUCGCCAUCUGAGCUGCGCAUGCAAACAUUCCGACAACCUGAAAGGCGGAAAGGCCGUUCCGCCUACUGCAUUUGAUGAAUGCACCUGACAAGGGCGGAAGGUGAACUGGGCCCUGCAGAUGGAAGCAAUUUCCACAUUUGUUACAGACCUGGAAUCUUUUUUUUUGUUGGAGUCGACGGACCAUGUAUGUGCGGAUGCAUAGGAAUCGGCAAGCAGCCUAGCUGCUAGUUCACGGGCACGUUUUACAUUUUCUUUCCUCAGGUUUGGCUAGUGCUACCACGUUGAUACUAAUCAACGCUUCUUGUGAAUGGGCUUAGUUGCUUCUACUAGUCGUGCGAGCGUUAAUCUUUUCUCUGUGCGCCUGCAUGUGCGGGCGUGGGAAUCGGGUCAGGUCCCUGCAGACAGCACGCCUGGCUGCACUGGGCCUGCUUCAGCUUCCGCCCCUGAAAAUUCACUUUCGUCCAUUUCAACUGGAAACAAGUAGGCUCCACCUGUCCUGUUGGCGGAAAGUUCAUUCCUCCUACCCAGUGGCCACUGGGUCAGUUGCUGGGCUUUCCACCACGUCAUUUUUCAAAUUAUAUUUCAGAUGGAGCUAUUUUUGCCAAUUCCGUUUGACAAGGGGCUACAAGAGCAAAGAAAUUGAAUGACAUAGCAAGCAAUCAAUUUCCCCUUAUAGGUAAAUAAUAAACAGCUUUGCUUCAGCUUACUGUCAUCAGCUGGUGGCUGACUGCCCUGACCAAACACAAGUUCAGUAAUCUACACAGCAAGCGGCACACAGGUGCAGCUAAGCACAUGGAUGAACAGAAUAUUCCAGCCAUUGAGGCUCAGCUCUCGAAGCUUAAUGCCAGGUGGCAUCUACAUUGUAUUGCAGCCCGUAGCACCCUGAUUGACUAGUAACCCAACAAUGAGACAAGCUCUAAUCCACCCAAUGACCUCACAGUUGGCAAGAAAUGCAGCCCUUAGUGACACGCACCACCCUACAUAACUUUCUCGUGGACUAAUCAGUAUGAAUCAUAUAAACCCUCUGCAAGCUGCAGUGAAAUAAAACUACUACUACUGAACUAGCUAUUGUCCCAGAUGGCCAUCUCCAACCCAACCGCCCAAGCAUGAAACAAGGGGCCAGUUACGAGAUCUAGGCCUACAGACCCCUAGACCUUGAGACAACCGACCUGUUGAUCAUCCGAAUUAGAGGAGGAGGUGCACACCCGU
rnacentral:lncRNA from 1 species